UCCGCCCACUUAUGUUCCCGUUUGAUGUAAAUGUUCAUUCGACCCCCAUAUACGAUUUCUGUGAUAGAAAUGGAUCGACGCAACAUAUUUGGGUGUAUUCAGGCAUGAGAGCAUCGCCAGGGUCCACUUAACCGGGCGAGCUCUUGUUGUGAGACGUUCAACAAAACGAAGAAAACUGCACAAAUAACUCGCGUUCAUCUGUGCGCGCAUCAAACCAAACGCAAUGCGCAGGGGGUAUUAUUUUGGAUGGAUCAUUGUGCUCUUGGCUCUGUUUACUUUUAGUGAUGCAUCUAGUCAAACUGUCAACCAGGAGCUUUCAAAUAUUUUCAAUGAGCUCUGGAAGCUGGAUGUGAAUCGCCUGAGCCCUGGGACUCAGUACAAUAUCUGACUACAGGGCAAAGCUGGUUACAUACCACAGGGAAGCACCAGUGCGGUAGACCACGCCUCAUCCUCACUGUUUACCAGUGUCGAUGAGGCCAAACUGAACUCCAUUACCACUUAUGCAC